rnacentral:rRNA from 1 species
AACGAACGCUGGCGGCAUGCCUAACACAUGCAAGUCGAACGAGUGGCGCACGGGUGCGUAACGCGUGGGAACCUGCCCUUAGGUUCGGAAUAACUUCCCGAAAGGGAUGCUAAUACCGGAUACCUUUGGAUGGGCCCGCGUAGGAUUAGCUUGUUGGUGGGGUAAUGGCCUACCAAGGCGACGAUCCUUAGCUGGUCUGAGAGGAUGAUCAGCCACACUGGGACUGAGACACGGCCCAGACUCCUACGGGAGGCAGCAGUGGGGAAUAGUGGACAAUGGGCGAAAGCCUGAUCCAGCAAUGCCGCGUGAGUGAUGAAGGCCUUAGGGUUGUAAAGCUCUUUUACCAGGGAUGCAGUACCUGGAGAAUAAGCUCCGGCUAACUCCGUGCCAGCAGCCGCGGUAAUUC